UAGUGUUUGUGACUGUAAGCAGCUAUUCACACGAAGUUUUUCCUUUACCUCCCGUUGUUGUCAUUUAGUCCCAGUUGAAAUAUUCUUCACGCAGUCCACCGAUCUAAUGCGUUCCACGCGUGACUAUCCGGUCUUGUUAUGACUACAUAGAGCUACAUCAGCCGAUGUUUUUCUCCUUUUUUUUUCUUCUUUCUAUCGUUUAUUAUGGUAGGCUGUGAUUUGGAUAAAAGGAAAAAAAAAAUAACAACUAUUUCGAACGACUAUACAGAGACUCUCUUGCAGACCCAUAAAGUCAUCGCAUAUUUUUAAUGGCAUGGGAACAUGCAACACCAGGAAACUAGCGGCAGCAAAUGGAUGGAACUUAAGAUUCUAAAAGUUCGUCUGCACUUCGAGUAAACAAAGAACCACGUUGGCUAGGAACAAGUACAGAACUAUUCGUAUAUCAGUACAAUAAUUAAGUUGAUAGAGAGAGUCAGGAAUGUGUUGAGAUCCAAUUACACCUAAACUACCAAAGCCUCUAUGCCAUUGCUGACUUGUGCUGAUAUGCAAAAGUAACACGGAUUUUCUAUAACUAUUUGUGCCAUCCUCAAAGAAAUUCGAACACAGUAUUUUGUACAAGCGAAAUGGGUGUACGGCGUGAGGAACCAACAAAAGAAACCGUUACAUUUUCCGGCCAUGUCACUCCAGGAUGAGUUAUCAGUAAAGAGGCGUCACCCAUGAGCAUUACAGGUCAUUCUUUUUGUGU